AUGAACGCUAGCUACAGGCUUAACACAUGCAAGUCGAGGGGCAGCAUGGUCUUAGCUUGCUAAGGCCGAUGGCGACCGGCGCACGGGUGAGUAACACGUAUCCAACCUGCCGUCUACUCUUGGACAGCCUUCUGAAAGGAAGAUUAAUACAAGAUGGCAUCAUGAGUCCACAUGUUCACAUGAUUAAAGGUAUUCCGGUAGACGAUGGGGAUGCGUUCCAUUAGAUAGUAGGCGGGGUAACGGCCCACCUAGUCUUCGAUGGAUAGGGGUUCUGAGAGGAAGGUCCCCCACAUUGGAACUGAGACACGGUCCAAACUCCUACGGGAGGCAGCAGUGAGGAAUAUUGGUCAAUGGGCGAGAGCCUGAACCAGCCAAGUAGCGUGAAGGAUGACUGCCCUAUGGGUUGUAAACUUCUUUUAUAAAGGAAUAAAGUCGGGUAUGGAUACCCGUUUGCAUGUACUUUAUGAAUAAGGAUCGGCUAACUCCGUGCCAGCAGCCGCGGUAAUACGGAGGAUCCGAGCGUUAUCCGGAUUUAUUGGGUUUAAAGGGAGCGUAGAUGGAUGUUUAAGUCAGUUGUGAAAGUUUGCGGCUCAACCGUAAAAUUGCAGUUGAUACUGGGUGUCUUGAGUACAGUAGAGGCAGGCGGAAUUCGUGGUGUAGCGGUGAAAUGCUUAGAUAUCACGAAGAACUCCGAUUGCGAAGGCAGCCUGCUAAGCUGCAACUGACAUUGAGGCUCGAAAGUGUGGGUAUCAAACAGGAUUAGAUACCCUGGUAGUCCACACGGUAAACGAUGAAUACUCGCUGUUUGCGAUAUACUGCAAGCGGCCAAGCGAAAGCGUUAAGUAUUCCACCUGGGGAGUACGCCGGCAACGGUGAAACUCAAAGGAAUUGACGGGGGCCCGCACAAGCGGAGGAACAUGUGGUUUAAUUCGAUGAUACGCGAGGAACCUUACCCGGGCUUAAAUUGCAGAUGAAUUACGGUGAAAGCCGUAAGCCGCAAGGCAUCUGUGAAGGUGCUGCAUGGUUGUCGUCAGCUCGUGCCGUGAGGUGUCGGCUUAAGUGCCAUAACGAGCGCAACCCUUGUUGUCAGUUACUAACAGGUCAUGCUGAGGACUCUGACAAGACUGCCAUCGUAAGAUGUGAGGAAGGUGGGGAUGACGUCAAAUCAGCACGGCCCUUACGUCCGGGGCUACACACGUGUUACAAUGGGGGGUACAGAGGGCCGCUACCACGCGAGUGAAUGCCAAUCCCAAAAACCUCUCUCAGUUCGGACUGGAGUCUGCAACCCGACUCCACGAAGCUGGAUUCGCUAGUAAUCGCGCAUCAGCCACGGCGCGGUGAAUACGUUCCCGGGCCUUGUACACACCGCCCGUCAAGCCAUGGGAGCCGGGGGUACCUGAAGUGCGUAACCGCGAGGAGCGCCCUAGGGUAAAACUGGUGACUGGGGCU
rnacentral:rRNA from 1 species